rnacentral:rRNA from 1 species
GACGAACGCUGGCGGCGUGCCUAAUACAUGCAAGUCGAGCGAAGUUUUUCUGGUGCUUGCACUAGAAAAACUUAGCGGCGAACGGGUGAGUAACACGUAAAGAACCUGCCUCAUAGACGGGGACAACUAUUGGAAACGAUAGCUAAUACCGGAUAACAGCAUAAAUCGCAUGAUAUAUGUUUAAAAGUUGGUUUCGGCUAACACUAUGAGAUGGCUUUGCGGUGCAUUAGCUAGUUGGUGGGGUAAAGGCCUACCAAGGCGACGAUGCAUAGCCGACCUGAGAGGGUGAUCGGCCACACUGGGACUGAGACACGGCCCAGACUCCUACGGGAGGCAGCAGUAGGGAAUCUUCCGCAAUGGGCGAAAGCCUGACGGAGCAACGCCGCGUGAGUGAAGAAGGAUUUCGGUUCGUAAAGCUCUGUUGUUAGGGAAGAAUGAUUGUAUAGUAACUAUAUACAGUAGAGACGGUACCUAACCAGAAAGCCACGGCUAACUACGUGCCAGCAGCCGCGGUAAUACGUAGGUGGCAAGCGUUGUCCGGAAUUAUUGGGCGUAAAGCGCGCGCAGGUGGUUUAAUAAGUCUGAUGUGAAAGCUCACGGCUCAACCGUGGAGGGUCAUUGGAAACUGUUAAACUUGAGUGCAGGAGAGAAAAGUGGAAUUCCUAGUGUAGCGGUGAAAUGCGUAGAGAUUAGGAGGAACACCAGUGGCGAAGGCGGCUUUUUGGCCUGUAACUGACACUGAGGCGCGAAAGCGUGGGGAGCAAACAGG